rnacentral:lncRNA from 1 species
GAAGAAUUAGUCUGAAAAUAUUUGCCCCAAGUUACUCUCAAUAUUUUCUCAUUCUAGCACAUCUGGAAUUAGGAAGGAUCAAAAGUAGAGGCAAAAAAAAGCCACAAGUUGGGUAAUAGAAAUAAAGUCUCAACAUGGAUUUUGGCAAGGAGGAGAAAGACUUGAAGCAGCAGAGUAACACCUUGACCUGCAGACCUUCACACAGGAAUUCAGGCAGAUUAAGAAACCUGUGAUAGGUACACUCUAGAAUCAUGCAGCUUAUCCCACAUUGGUGAUGCUUUUUUCAACCUCAGAACAUUAAAAAAGAAGCAAAUAAAAACCUAAACCUGCUUUAAUCAAGGAAAGACAUUCAGGCAGCUGAUGAGAACAGAGGAAGGAGCAGAUGAUGGCACCAAAUCCUGCCCUGGAGCUGAGCAGGGCUCAAGGAGCAGCCCCGUGUGGAGGAGCAGAUGGAGCUCUGCAAACUGUACUCUCCUGGUCCUGGGCACUUCAGCGAGGUGUUAUUGAAUAGGAAUGUGUAAACACACAGAAAAUGGGCUGAGCAGGAAAACCUGCUCAGGCCUAGACCUCAUCAAUGUCUUGGAAAAC